UUUUUUUUGGUGGAGACGGGGUUUCGCUGUGUUGGCCGGGCUGGUCUCCAGCUCCUAACCCCAAGUGAUCUGCCAGCCUUGGCCUCCCGAGGUGCCGGGAUUGCAGACGGAGUCUCGUUCACUCAGUGCUCAAUGUUGCCCAGGCUGGAGUGCAGUGGCGUGAUCCCCGCUCGCUACAACCUCCACCUCCCAGCCGCCUGCCUUGGCCUCCCAAAGUGCCGAGAUUGCAGCUUCUGCCCGGCCGCCACCCCCUCUGGGAAGUGAGGAGCAUCUCUGCCUGGCCGCCCAUCGUCUGGGAUGUCAGGAGCCCCUCUGCCCGGCCGCCCAGUCUGGGAAGUGAGGAGCGCCUCUGCCCGGCUGCCCAGUCUGGUAAGUGAGGAGCGCCUCUGCCCGGCUGCCCAGUCUGGGAAGUGAGGAGCGCCUCUUCCCGGCCGCCAUCCCAUCUAGGAAGUGAGGAGCGUCUCUGCCCGGCCGCCCAUCAUCUGAGAUGUGGGGAGUGCCUCUGCCCCGCCGCCCCGUCUGGGAUGUGAGGAGCGCCUCUGCCCGGCCACGACCCCAUCUGGGAGGGUCUUGCUCUGUCACCCAGGCUGGAGUUCAGUGGCCCAUCCAUAGCUCACUGCAGCCUCGACCUCCUGGGCUUCAAAGUGAUCCUCCUGCCUCAGCCUGCCAAGCAGCUAGGACUCUUUGCAGAUGGUAUUAAGAAACAGGGCAUCUGUGUCUCCCUGUGGAAAAACCCAGGCUCUUCUGGAACUGUGGGCUCCUUGUGUUGCUGUCAUGUAAUCAAGAAGCUAGAGGUAGCAGAACCCAAUCCUUACACCCAAAACACUAGCCAAGGGCAUCUUUCUCUCUUGCAUCUAGCUAUGACUCCAAAAGAGAAGAGCAAAUGGUCGCUACAUGCAAAACAAGUUGCCAACCACCAUAGGUUUUGUCUUUCAAAUUAUCAAAUAUAUGUAUACAUACUGAGACAGAGUUUCACUCUUGUUGCCCAGGCUACAGUGCAAUGGUGUGAUUUCAGCUCACUGCAACCUCCACCUCCCAGGUUCAAGCGAUUCUCAUGCCUCAGCCUCCCGAGUAGCUGGGAUUACAGGUGCCCACCACC
rnacentral:lncRNA from 1 species